CCUACGGGUGGCAGCAGUGGGGAAUAUUGCACAAUGGGGGAAACCCUGAUGCAGCGACGCCACGUGAAGGAAGAAGUAUUUCGGUAUGUAAACUUCUAUCAGCAGGGAAGAAAAUGACGGUACCUGACUAAGAAGCCCCGGCUAACUACGUGCCAGCAGCCGCGGUAAUACGUAGGGGGCAAGCGUUAUCCGGAUUUACUGGGUGUAAAGGGAGCGUAGGCGGGUUAGCAAGUCAGAAGUGAAAGCCCGGGGCUCAACUCCGGGACUGCUUUUGAAACUGUUUAACUAGAGUGCAGGAGAGGUAAGUGGAAUUCCUGGGGUAGCGGUGAAAUGCGUAGAUAUUAGGAGGAACACCAGUGGCGAAGGCGGCUUACUGGACUGUAAAUGACGCUGAGGCUCGAAAGCGUGGGGAGCAAACAGGAUUAGAUACCCCUGUAGUC
rnacentral:rRNA from 1 species